GCUGGGCACAGUGGUGCAUGCCUGUAAACCCAGCAACUCAGUAGGCUGAGGCAGGGGAUGGCAAGUUUGAGGGCAUCCUCAGCAAUUUAGCAAGUCCCUCAGCAACUUAGCAAGACCUUGUCUCAA
rnacentral:sRNA from 1 species